rnacentral:rRNA from 1 species
CCUACGGGAGGCAGCAGUGGGGAAUAUUGGACAAUGGGGGCAACCCUGAUCCAGCCAUGCCGCGUGAGUGAUGACGGCCUUAGGGUUGUAAAGCUCUUUUCUCCGGGACGAUAAUGACGGUACCGGAGGAAUAAGCCCCGGCUAACUUCGUGCCAGCAGCCGCGGUAAUACGAAGGGGGCUAGCGUUGCUCGGAAUCACUGGGCGUAAAGGGCGCGUAGGCGGCUGAUUUAGUCGAGGGUGAAAGCCUGUGGCUCAACCACAGAAUUGCCUUCGAUACUGGUUGGCUUGAGACCGGAAGAGGACAGCGGAACUGCGAGUGUAGAGGUGAAAUUCGUAGAUAUUCGCAAGAACACCAGUGGCGAAGGCGGCUGUCUGGUCCGGUUCUGACGCUGAGGCGCGAAAGCGUGGGGAGCAAACAGGAUUAGAUACCCUGGUAGUCCACGCUGUAAACGAUGAAUGCUAGCCGUUGGUCUGCAUGCAGGUCAGUGGCGCCGCUAACGCAUUAAGCAUUCCGCCUGGGGAGUACGGUCGCAAGAAUUAAAACUCAAAGGAAAUUGAACGG